rnacentral:rRNA from 1 species
GAUGAACGCUAGCGGCAGGCUUAAUACAUGCAAGUCGAGGGGCAGCAGGACUGUAGCAAUACAGUUGCUGGCGACCGGCAAACGGGUGCGGAACACGUACGCAAUCUACCCGAAACUAGGGCAUAGCCCGGGGAAACCCGGAUUAAUACCCCGUAACACUUUGAAGUGGCAUCACUUUAUAGUUAUAGCUCCGGCGGUUUUGGAUGAGCGUGCGGCGGAUUAGGUAGUUGGCGGGGUAACGGCCCACCAAGCCUACGAUCAGUAACUGGGGUGAGAGCACGACCAGUCACACGGGCACUGAGACACGGGCCCGACUCCUACGGGAGGCAGCGGUAAGGAAUAUUGGUCAAUGGACGCAAGUCUGAACCAGCCAUGCCGCGUGGAGGAUGAAGGCCCUCUGGGUUGUAAACUUCUUUUAUAGGGGACGAAACCUCUUUUUCUUGAGAGACUGACGGUACCCUAGGAAUAAGCACCGGCUAACUCCGUGCCAGCAGCCGCGGUAAGAC